rnacentral:rRNA from 1 species
GGACCCGCACAAGCGGAGGAGCGCGUGGUUUAAUUCGACGGCAAUCGAAGAACCUUACCAGGGUUUGAAAUGUAUCUGCAUGCCCCUAGAAAUAGGGGAGGCUUUCGAAGGUGAUACACAGGUGCUGCAUGGCCGUCGUCAGCUCGUGUCGUGAGAUGUUGGGUUAAGUCCCGAAACGAGCGCAACCCCUAUCCUAUGUUACAAGUGUCUUAGGAAACUGCCUCGGUAAAACGGGGAGGAAGGUGGGGAUGACGUCUGGUCCGCAUAGCCCUUAUGUCCUGGGCGACACACGCGCUACAAUGGCCGAUACAAUGGGAAGCCAAAUCGUAAGAUGGAGCAAAUCCUAUAAAGUCGGUCUCAGUUCGGAUUGAGGUCUGAAACUCGACCUCAUGAAGUUGGAUUCGCUAGUAAUCGUGGAUCAGCCAUGCCACGGUGAAUACGUUCUCGGGUCUU